GGAAGAGACAUGGAUUAUAAGCAGGCAGUGGUACCAAGAACAACUUUCUGUUUAUAAAAUGAGUACUGUUGGUUUAUAUGGGACAUUCAUAUGGGUAUUGUUAGGUAAUACUAGCAGUCGGACAUCCACACAAGAAUCUGGUGCUUAGUGCCCCUGUUUGAAUGUAGCGGCAGUAGAAUAUGUGCACUAUAAGACUGCUGAAGAUAGCCAAGCAGUGUACCCAGCUGUCAAGAAUGCAAUUUGAGUGCUCAACUGCCGAUACAUUUAAAAAGAGGUACUCAGUACCACCAUUCCACCAAUUUUGACAGGGGGAGUCUCACUGGUCAAAUCCGAUUAGAUACUUCUCACCUAUCCUGUGGAUUGGCAAAAAGUUGCCAUAUUGGAACAUCACUUUUGGGCUUUAUUCACAUCUGCAUCCUGAAUAGCAUUUUUGGACCUCCAAUAAGGUCCCUUGGAUUCUGUCAUUGUGUUUGUUUUAUUGUAAAAAAAAUUAGUGUUGCAUAGUGCUCGGUUUAUUUUUUCGUGACAGAAUCUGUGAUGCAGGCUUCAAUGUAAAUGCUAGCAGCAUCUCACACUGCCUAUGAAUAACAUAGCUACUGUUUUCUACCCAGAGAGAAAAAAGUCAACGGGAUCACUUAUAAAAAUGGAUGAUAUAUGUAUCCUUGAUCCUUUAAACAACUGUUCCACAUCCUGUGAAUCUCCAGCUGUUGCAAAACUCCCAUCGUGCCUUGACAACCUAAGGCUUGCAAAACUACACCUCCCAUCAAACCUUUGGCUAAAGGUCUUAACUGUCCAUCAGACCCUUGCACUGAUUGAAGUACAGCGCUGUACCAGACACUGCAGAAAGGGUUGUAAUAGCUGCCUGGUGCUUCUGCGGCUCAUCUGACAGCAGCCUCCAAUGAAUUACAGCACAAUCUCUACACAGUCCAGAAAAAAGUUAUGAGGAAAACAUUACUUCAUAGCUCCAUUCAACAAACAGGAGCAAUUCAUAUACAGGAUUGGUGUACAAUGCACACAGCUGAGGCCACAUUGACACAAAGGCCCUAUUGACUGGAAUCGUCUUCCUAAUGAUGGCCCUGGAAGCUGGUAAUAGGAUUCCCAAUACAGUACACAGUCCUCCUUGAAACCAUCGAUAAAUCUUCAUUUAUUUCCAAGGAAGCUAAAUAGGCACAAAUAUAAAUAAAUAAACAAGACGCAUCAACCAGUUUUGCUGCUGGCUUAUAGGGUGCACUGAUUAGCUAUUGGCUUUGUUCAGGGUUCAUCUUAACAUAUCCAUUCCAGCCCAUUCCAUUCCCGAAGUACUGUUAUGAACAUAC